rnacentral:rRNA from 1 species
CGCCAGACUCCUACGGGAGGCAGCAGUGGGGAAUAUUGCACAAUGGGGGAAACCCUGAUGCAGCGACGCCGCGUGAGUGAAGAAGUAUUUCGGUAUGUAAAGCUCUAUCAGCAGGGAAGAAAAUGACGGUACCUGACUAAGAAGCCCCGGCUAACUACGUGCCAGCAGCCGCGGUAAUACGUAGGGGGCAAGCGUUAUCCGGAUUUACUGGGUGUAAAGGGAGCGUAGACGGCAGCGCAAGUCUGGAGUGAAAUGCCGGGGCCCAACCCCGGAACUGCUUUGGAAACUGUGCAGCUCGAGUGCAGGAGAGGUAAGCGGAAUUCCUAGUGUAGCGGUGAAAUGCGUAGAUAUUAGGAGGAACACCAGAGGCGAAGGCGGCGUUCUGGACAUUAACUGACGCUGAGGCUCGAAAGCGUGGGGAGCAAACAGGAUUAGAUACCCUGGUAGAA